rnacentral:tRNA from 1 species
GGGGGCGUAGUUGAGUCGGUUACAAUGUCGCCCUGUCACGGCGAAGGUCGUGGGUUCGAGUCCCAUCGCUCCCGCCA